rnacentral:rRNA from 1 species
GACAGAGGGUGCAAACGUUGCUCGGAAUCAUUGGGCGUAAAGCGCACGUAGGCGGCCCCAUAAGUCGGAUGUGAAAUCCCUCGGCUCAACCGAGGAAGUGCAUCCGAAACUGCGGGGCUCGAGUAUGGAAGAGGGUCGCAGAAUUCCCGGUGUAGAGGUGAAAUUCGUAGAUAUCGGGAGGAAUACCAGUGGCGAAGGCGGCGACCUGGGCCAAUACUGACGCUGAGGUGCGAAAGCGUGGGGAGCAAACAGG